UACAGAGGUCUCAAGCGUUGUUCGGAUUCAUUGGGCGUAAAGGGUGCGUAGGUGGCUAGGUAAGUCGGAUGUGAAAUCCCGGGGCUCAACCCCGGAACUGCACUCGAUACUGCCUGGCUCGAGUACUGGAGAGGAGAUUGGAAUUUACGGUGUAGCAGUGAAAUGCGUAGAUAUCGUAAGGAAUACCAGUGGCGAAGGCGGAUCUCUGGACAGUUACUGACACUGAGGCACGAAGGCCAGGGGAGCAAACGGG
rnacentral:rRNA from 1 species